GCGAAGCGAGCCGUCUAAGAAGAAUUAAACAGUUAAGCAGAGGUUUAAGAGUUCCGACUCUCUAAAUCAGCAUCCUCAUCACCAUUUGACAGAAUGUAAAAAUUAAGAUGACGAGCAAUCUUGACCGGACGUUAUGAAAAGCUGGAUAAUAGUCUCGAAGUUGCUGAUUUUGCUCAUGAGUGCCACGCACUAGAAUACGAGUAUUCAAUAAAGCUGUA
rnacentral:lncRNA from 1 species